rnacentral:rRNA from 1 species
UACGGAGGGUGCAAGCGUUAUCCGGAUUCACUGGGUUUAAAGGGUGCGUAGGCGGGCAGUUAAGUCAGUGGUGAAAUCUCCGGGCUCAACCCGGAAACUGCCGUUGAUACUAUCUGUCUUGAAUAACGUUGAGGUAAGCGGAAUAUGUCAUGUAGCGGUGAAAUGCUUAGAUAUGACAUAGAACACCAAUUGCGAAGGCAGCUUACUAUGGUAUGAUUGACGCUGAGGCACGAAAGCGUGGGGAUCAAACAGG